UACGUAGGGGGCUAGCGUUGUCCGGAAUCAUUGGGCGUAAAGAGCGCGUAGGCGGCCCUGUAAGUCCGCUGUGAAAGUCAAGGGCUCAACCCUUGAAUGCCGGUGGAUACUGCAGGGCUAGAGUCCGGAAGAGGCGAGUGGAAUUCCUGGGUGUAGCGGUGAAAUGCGCAGAUAUCAGGAGGAACACCGAUGGCGAAGGCAGCUCGCUGGGACGGUACUGACGCUGAGGCGCGAAGCGUGGGGAGCAAACAGG
rnacentral:rRNA from 1 species